rnacentral:rRNA from 1 species
UGGGGAAUAUUGCACAAUGGGCGCAAGCCUGAUGCAGCAACGCCGCGUGAACGAUGAAGGUCUUCGGAUCGUAAAGUUCUGUUGCAGGGGAAGAUAAUGACGGUACCCUGUGAGGAAGCCCCGGCUAACUACGUGCCAGCAGCCGCGGUAAUACGUAGGGGGCUAGCGUUAUCCGGAUUUACUGGGCGUAAAGGGUGCGUAGGUGGUCUUUCAAGUCGGUGGUUAAAGGCUACGGCUCAACCGUAGUUAGCCUCCGAAACUGGAAGACUUGAGUGCAGGAGAGGAAAGGGGAAUUCCCAGUGUAGCGGUGAAAUGCGUAGGUAUUGGGAGGAACACCAGUAGCGAAGGCGGCUUUCUGGACUGCAACUGACACUGAGGCACGAAAGCGUGGGUAGCAAACAGG